rnacentral:rRNA from 1 species
AUGAACGCUGGCGGCGUGCCUAAUACAUGCAAGUCGAGCGAACAGACGAGGAGCUUGCUCCUCUGACGUUAGCGGCGGACGGGUGAGUAACACGUGGAUAACCUACCUAUAAGACUGGGAUAACUUCGGGAAACCGGAGCUAAUACCGGAUAAUAUAUUGAACCGCAUGGUUCAAUAGUGAAAGACGGUUUUGCUGUCACUUAUAGAUGGAUCCGCGCCGCAUUAGCUAGUUGGUAAGGUAACGGCUUACCAAGGCAACGAUGCGUAGCCGACCUGAGAGGGUGAUCGGCCACACUGGAACUGAGACGCGGUCCAGACUCCUACGGGAGGCAGCAGUAGGGAAUCUUCCGCAAUGGGCGAAAGCCUGACGGAGCAACGCCGCGUGAGUGAUGAAGGUCUUCGGAUCGUAAAACUCUGUUAUUAGGGAAGAACAAAUGUGUAAGUAACUAUGCACGUCUUGACGGUACCUAAUCAGAAAGCCACGGCGAACUACG